UACAGAGGUGGCAAGCGUUGUUCGAAAUUACUGGGCGUAAAGGGCGCGUAGGCGGUCCUGUAAGUCCUGUGUGAAAUCCCCCGGCUCAACUGGGGAAUUGCACGGGAAACUGCGGGGCUUGAGUUCGGGAGAGGGAAGCGGAAUUCCGGGUGUAGCGGUGAAAUGCGUAGAUAUCCGGAGGAACACCGGUGGCGAAGGCGGCUUCCUGGACCGACACUGACGCUGAGGCGCGAAGACAUGGGGAGCGAACAGG
rnacentral:rRNA from 1 species